GACGAACGCUGGCGGCGUGCUUAACACAUGCAAGUCGAACGGAAAGGCCCUGCUUUUGUGGGGUGCUCGAGUGGCGAACGGGUGAGUAACACGUGAGUAACCUGCCCUUGACUUUGGGAUAACUUCAGGAAACUGGGGCUAAUACCGGAUAGGAGCUCCUGCUGCAUGGUGGGGGUUGGAAAGUUUCGGCGGUUGGGGAUGGACUCGCGGCUUAUCAGCUUGUUGGUGGGGUAGUGGCUUACCAAGGCUUUGACGGGUAGCCGGCCUGAGAGGGUGACCGGCGACAUUGGGACUGAGAUACGGCACAGACUCCUACGGGAGGCAGCAGUGGGGAAUAUUGCACAAUGGGCGGAAGCAUGAUGCAGAAACGCCGCGUGCGGGAUGACGGCCUUCGGGUUGUAAACCGAUUUCGCCUGUGACGAAGAGUGAGUGACGGUAAUGGGUAAAGAAGCACCGGCUAACUACGUG
rnacentral:rRNA from 1 species